rnacentral:lncRNA from 1 species
UUUGUAAAAUAGUACAUGACCUAAAUGUACAGUUGGGAGCUCUGACCGCUAUGUGAUCUAAGCAGGACUGCACUAGGCAAUUAUUAACUAAUUCCGCUCUAGUGGGAGCUCCAAUUGUACAUUCCAGACCAUAAGCGGACAACGUAGAUAUAUAAUCACAAACAGAUACUUUUUCAGGACAUAAAAUGUUGAUAUUAAAGUCCCCGAUCAAGCAGAAUUGGUCCACUGAGCUCCACUGCCGCAGAGUUUCAUCAAGCUCUACAAGAAACCGUGAGAGGCUGUAUGAAGGCGGUCGAUAGACCGAUAAGAUAUGCACAGAAAAUGCCCUCUUACAAACUUUGACCAUCAUAGAUUCAGCAUGCACAAAAGAAACAUCAACAGAAAAAGCUUCACAGUUGUCGUUUACAAAGAGAGCAAUGCCUCCGCCACGACGCCCGCUUCGUGUAACAAAAUGUGCUGAAAAGCCUUGCAAUGUAAACGCUACCA